rnacentral:lncRNA from 1 species
GGGCUGUGGAGAGUUCUCCAGCAAGAGCUGCAGCUCCGGAGUAAUGGCAUCCCGAGGCUCCCUAGGACCGCGCAGUCGCCUGGAGGCUGCCCUCCGGAAGGGGCCGCCCCUGAGCCGGCAGAGCUGGGCCGGGAGACCUGGGAGAGCCCAAGUGGCCGGCCGUGCUAGGCGGGGGUCGGCUGGGAGGGACCGGUGACAGCCUGGGGGUCCCCGGCAGAGCGCAGAAAAGCAGAGGAAAUACACUCGGAUCCAAGUGCCCCUGGCCCUCAUGACCCGACCCCUGGAGAAGCAUCUGAGUUACCCGACAUCCUGGUCAGCAGGAGCUGGGCUGGAGACUGGAUGCUGCAGCUUCAGAGACUCAGCACCUAGGAAGGCAGGGAGAAAGGCAGAGAUGCGACAUUUUUAAAGUUUCACAAAACACGAGGCAGCACCCAGGUCCCUGGAUCAGGAGACACACAGAAUUAAUGUUUUAUACCUUUGGGUAUAGGUUUGAGUUUUUUCCCCCUCAUGCCAAGUAUUUAAAACCUCUAGAAACCCAUGAUUUGACAAUCAAUGAUUGCGCGAUACUUUCAAUUUGAAUAUUCAAAGGCUUAACAAAAUGGACUAUCUUCUGCAGAAAUCCUGCACACAGGCACCUCACAGAGAGUCCAGAGAAACAGAGAGUGAGAUCCCUUUGGGUCCUGACCCUUGCUUUUCUCCUAUUUUAAACAUUUUGUCCACCUGCCCACAGACAGAGCAGGUGUCCUCAAAGAUGCUCUAUGCUAGUGCCUCAGAGGCUGCUCAGGAGCCCCCACUGGCCUAGGCUGUUCCCUGUGGACCACCUGAGCCAGGUUGGACAGUCACAUUGAGUGUCUCUUGUCCACUCUCCAUUUUAAGGGGGAACCUCAGGUUUUGGAGAAUGAACAUGGCAGACAGAGGGUGUGGCACAGCAAAGGGCCACUUUAGGCCCAGGCUGCAGGUCAGAGGACAGCAGAGGCCGAAACUUAGCGCUUUGUAUUCCUCUGGCCCUGCCUGGCCACAAGGCUUGCCUCUCUGCAUCCUCCCUCCUGCUAGGUCACAGACACUGGGCUUCCAGCAAGCCGUCCUUGCACAUCAACCCUCUCUUUGCUCUGCGGAGCCUUAGACCAACACAGCUGCCCUUGACCCAUCUGUGAUUCCUUUAGGCCAGGUUUCCACUGCUGCAUUGUGGCAAUCCCCAUUCCUAUGUUUUGGUUUGUUUUUAAUUCCUCGAACCCCAGCCUUUUUUACCUCAUAGAACUCCUGCUUCCUUUAGAGGAAGGGCAUGGGUUUUUCUUUCUUUCUUUCUUUUUUUUUUUGAAGGCUCUGAGGAGAGAAGUAGGAGGAAUUUGGAGUCAAGCUGUCUUCUUGGACCCCUCAUGAAUACGAAUAACUCGAACCCAUGCUGAUGUGUAUUUUUGAAGCUCUGCCUGAGUUGCUCUCUGUUCUGUGAUUUGAAGGAUGAAGAGACUGGAGUGAUAUGGAAUGUCAGGUCAAGAUGUCCCCUUUGCAAAUAACUAGGAGGUUUCCAGGAAUGCAGAUAAAGUGAUGGUAUAGGCCUCUCCUUUUUAAUCCUCGAGUUGUCUGAAGUGCAGACAAAACAACCCCCAGCUUUAGAUUCAAAAGUCUUUAGAAAAAAAAAAUCUGAAAACUUAAAAUAUAUCAGACAUAGUAUAUUAGAUAUAGAGUAUCUAACCAACGGCUCAGCUAAAGGGUCUCUGGGGGUGAUGAAAGCGUGCAGGGUAGACCUGUCUGCCAGGCAGGUGAGCCACAUAUCUGGGAAAGGAUCAAGGCUGGGGACACUUGAAGUAACAUCAGGUGGUGGAGAAGUAGGGUGAGAUGAGGUUGUAUUUGGUUCAGCUGGGGUUUAUCAGACACUGGACCCUAUUUUUGCAAAGCCAGGCCUGAGGACCAGACCAGAGGAUCUGAGAGGAAACCCUCUCCCUAGGACCCCACCCUUCCUUCGUCUAGUCAACGUUUCCCUCGCUGCUUUUCUCCUUUCUGCCUUGCUUUUAAGAUCUCCUCCAUGUCCUUUGGCAGUUUUGUUUAUUCUUCCCCCACUCCCAUUUUCUGUCCCUUGUUCUUCUCCCUGUUGACACUUUUCUUGUCUCUCUUUUUUCUCUGACUCUAUACAUGCCUCUCUUUCCCCUCUUCUGAAGUGCUGUCUCAUUCUUUUACACUAAAUAUUUUUCUUCAGCUCCCCUUUCACACAGGAUUGAGCAGGGGUGGCCUGAGGUCACAGUUUUCCCUUAACAAUGUCAAGGUCAGUGGUGCUGGUGACUGAGUUCUCCAGAGAGAACACUGGAAGACAAGCUCUUUAGAAGCCUGGUGUCUACGGGGAUAAGAGCGAAGAAAUCUGCAUCUUUUCUCCCAGAAGUCUUUGCCCGAGCCAUAGCUAACAUCCUGAGGCAUUUGUGUGCUGGUGCAGUUCCUGAGGUUCAGAGUGUGAUGAUGUUGCUGACAAAAAACUUCAGAAAACUAUUUCCACAGGCCCAUUUUGAGGCUCUUCCCUGUGCUAUAUAUAUUGCAGGUCAGCUCAACACUCAGGAGUUUUGAUUCUUGUUCUUGUAACUGAAAAGACAUUUCAGAGCCUCAGCACAGACAUUUCAGAGCCAAAGACAAUGCUUUUUCAGUAGAUCCUCUUUGCACCUCUCUCCCUCUCCCUUCCCCCCUCUCUCUGUCUGUCUUUCUGUUUCUGUGUGGCAUGCAUGUGUGUGUGCAUGCAAGUAUGUGUGUCUGUGUGUCUGUGUGAUGAUGAAUCUAAAGCAACCAGCCAUUUUUACCUUGAGAUUCCAAAUGCCUUUAGAAGCUGGUACCCUGCUCGAUUGCUUGCUCACUCACUUGCUCACCCAUCCAUCCACAUCCAUCCAUCCAUCCAUCCAUCCAUCCAUCCAUCCAAGUGCUGAGAUAGAAUCCAGAGCAUGCUGGGUAAGCACUCUACAGCAGAACUACAUCCCUAGCUCAGAAGAUUAUUUAAAAGUUCUCAUCUCUUGUUCCUGGGGGCCAGGCCUGUAUUACAUAGCAAAUGACAGAGCUAGUGUUCAGACUUUUGUAUCACCCCAAAGUCCUUGCGUGUUAUCAGUGUGUCCAAGGGGCUUCUUAGAAACAUGGAGCUCUGAAGAAGCAACUGGCUAGUGGUGAGGAUAAGCUGGUCAUUAUGCUGACUGUAGUUUGUGGUUGUCCAACCAGAACCCUCUUCCUGGGGGCUUAUUGCUUCUAGGAUGCCUCCCUGAAGUCCCAACAGUCCCUUUGAGGUUGUAAAAAAAUUGUGUCUGGGGGUCGGUCUUCUGCCACAAGCUCCUUCACCUUUAACACUAUCUUGAUGUUGGGUGUGGGAGAGGAUAUUGAAAUGCUGAGAGGGAGUGACAUCAUGACCUGUGGCUUUCUAGCUUGUAGCUCCAUUGUUGGCACAUAUAAAAGCUGUGUGGAGGAGAUGGGUCUCGCUAUUUGUAAGGUAGAUUUUUGCCUUUAAAUGAGUGAUAAGCCUUUGAGAUAUUCUUUCCUUGAGCAUCAGGUGUGUACCAGGCACAGUAACAAGUACCAGGAGUACAAAGAUAAGUAAGCCUUGGUUUCUGCCAGCAAUGGGUCUGUUCUCCCAUGUGCUCACUACUGCUUUCCUAUUGUAUGUUAAUUUGCAAAUCCAUUCAUUCAUUCACUGUUUAUUCAACCACCUUCUGUUAAUUGCUCUGCCUGGUCCAGUUCUUGCUUUCCACCCAAGCCUCCUCCCCUGAAAGCCUCUGUCCAUAGUUUUUCCCAUCCUUCCUAAAUCAGCUUUUCAAAUCUCUGCUUUUCCAUGCCACAAACUCAGAAAUCCUUCAGUCUGUCAACUGUUCAUCAAUCAUAAAGUCAGCAGCACCUGGGAUGAGCAGAAUGGACAUUGUUAAUGUGUAAAGUUGAACGGUUUUAAUUGGAAAAAAAUUAUCGAUGGUCUUCUGCAUGCAAAUGACACCGCACAGCAUUGUGCUUUCCCCUCCCAAGCAGGUUUUAUUAAACGUAGACGUGCAUAUUAAAAGACCUUCAGUAUAAGGAAAAGGUGUCGUUAUUCCUUCUGAAUUUGACUAUAGCCCGAAAUUUUCUUUAGUAAUGCAAAAUUCUUUUGUCACCUCAAUGUUGGGACACUGUUACUGAAUGUUGUGGGAAAUAUCAUGUUCCAAAAUGUUGAAUGCAUAGAAGAAACAUGUAUUUAUGGGUCCUUAGGAAGCCAAAUUUGAUCCAUGUGAAAGUGACCAAGGAGACUAGGAGACGGGGGUUGUGUAAUAGUAAUGCACACAUAGUCAGUUUCUCCACGUAGUAUAUAUUCAAAAUUUAGACUUUCCUCUAAGAAAAGGAUAUGAUGAGGCAACCUUUGAUCAUUUAUUAUUUAUACAAGAAAAGUACCAUAUCACACUGCUUGCAAAGUUACUGUUUUGGGUAAAAACAUUUUUAUUGCACCAUAUUUCUAAUACAAAAGUGUGUAGAGAAUGCUGUCAGGAAAAGCUGUGAAUAUUUCAUCAAAGUUGGGAAAUAAAAUGGCUGAGUGAAUGCACAUUUGCAUUCUACUUUCUAAGCAUUGGAACUUCUGGAUCCUUCCACGUAAGAUACUUGAUUAGUGGGACAGUUCUAUUAUUUUUCUUACUGUAGAAGAGCUGAAAUCUUGAUAUUAUUUGUUAGGACUAUAGUUUUUUCCUUUUGGAACAUGCAACUUUUUCCCCCUGUUCUUUUUUUGUAAUCUAUUGACAAUGCAGUUUGCAAACCUCUGUGUCUUAUCUGUUCUGAAGUUGUUGUUAAAAGAUAUUUAUGUAUCACAUAUCUAAUAAAGCAUGAUGCCAAUGUUUG